rnacentral:rRNA from 1 species
UACGGGGGGGGCAAGCGUUGUUCGGAAUUACUGGGCGUAAAGGGCUCGUAGGCGGCCAACUAAGUCGGAUGUGAAAUCCCCAGGCUCAACCUGGGAACUGCAUCCGAUACUGGAUGGCUUGAAUUCGGGAGAGGGAUGCAGAAUUCCAGGUGUAGCGGUGAAAUGCGUAGAUAUCAGGAAGAACACCCGUGGCGAAGGCGGCUCUCUGGGACGGUACUGACGCUGAGACGCGAAAGCGUGGGGAGCGAACAGG